ACUUCCAAUCAUGGUGGAAGGCAAAGGGGGAAUAGACACAUCACAUGGCAAAAGCAGGAGCAAGAGAGAGGUGGGGGAGGUGCCACACACUUUCAAACAACCUGAUCUUAUGACUGCCAUGAGGAUAACAUCAAGCUAUGAAGGAUCCACCUCGUGAUCCAAUCACCUCCCACCAGGCCCCACCUCCAGCAUGAAGGAUUACAAUUCAACAUGAGAUUUGGGCUAGGAAACCCAUCCUCUCCUGACUGUGGACAUCGGAACUCCGGGUUCUCCAGCCAUUGCGCUCUGGGACUCACACCAGUAGCCACUCCACCACCACCAGUUUUCAGGCCUUUGGCCUCGGACUCAGAGUUACACAAUCCGCUCCCCUGGUUCUGAGGCCUUU
rnacentral:lncRNA from 1 species